CCCUUAGACGUUCUGGGCCGCACGCGCGCUACACUGACCAGUGCAACAAGCAUCCGUCCUUGGCCGACAGGCCCGGGCAAUCUUUGAACGCUGGUCGUGAUGGGGAUAGACUUUUGCAGUUUUUGGUCUUCAACGAGGAAUUCCUAGUAAACGCAAGUCAUCAACUUGCAUUGAUUACGUCCCUGCCCUUUGUACACACCGCCCGUCGCACCUACCGAUUGAAUGGUCCGGUGAAGCCUCCGGAUUGGCGCGCACCUCGGUGCCGCCGAGAAGUUGGCUAAACCUUACCAUUUAGAGGAAGGUGAAGUCGUAACA
rnacentral:rRNA from 1 species